rnacentral:rRNA from 1 species
UGGGGAAUUUUGGACAAUGGGGGAAACCCUGAUCCAGCCAUCCCGCGUGUGCGAUGAAGGCCUUCGGGUUGUAAAGCACUUUUGGCAGGAAAGAAACGUCGCGGGUUAAUACCCCGCGAAACUGACGGUACCUGCAGAAUAAGCACCGGCUAACUACGUGCCAGCAGCCGCGGUAAUACGUAGGGUGCAAGCGUUAAUCGGAAUUACUGGGCGUAAAGCGUGCGCAGGCGGUUCGGAAAGAAAGAUGUGAAAUCCCAGAGCUUAACUUUGGAACUGCAUUUUUAACUACCGGGCUAGAGUGUGUCAGAGGGAGGUGGAAUUCCGCGUGUAGCAGUGAAAUGCGUAGAUAUGCGGAGGAACACCGAUGGCGAAGGCAGCCUCCUGGGAUAACACUGACGCUCAUGCACGAAAGCGUGGGGAGCAAACAGGAUUAGAUACCCUGGUAGUCCACGCCCUAAACGAUGNCAACUAGCUGUUGGGGCCUUCGGGCCUUGGUAGCGCAGCUAACGCGUGAAGUUGACCGCCUGGGGAGUACGGUCGCAAGAUUAAAAACUC